rnacentral:rRNA from 1 species
CGCAGGCGGCGUCGGAAGUUAGGCGUGAAAGCCCCGGGCUCAACCUGGGAAUUGCGCUUGAUACUCCGAUGCUGGAGUUCGGGAGAGGAGAGUGGAAUUCCCAGUGUAGAGGUGAAAUUCGUAGAUAUUGGGAAGAACACCGGUGGCGAAGGCGGCUCUCUGGACCGAUACUGACGCUGAGGCGCGAAAGCGUGGGGAGCAAACAGGAUUAGAUACCCUGGUAGUCCACGCUGUAAACGAUGUGUGCUAGACGUUGGGGAGCCUAGCUCUCCGGUGUCGCCGCUAACGCUUUAAGCACACCGCCUGGGGAGUACGGCCGCAAGGUUAAA